AGUUCAAGGUUGCCUCGGGUUGAGAGAAGUAGGUCUUGCUUGCAGCUAUAAGGGGAAGAGAGAGUUCAACUGCUCUGUCCAGAGAGAGAGACUGAGGAGUAGGCAUAGCCUGAUUUCUCAGAGAGCUAUCAGCCAGAUGAUCUGGGAUCUAACAGAGACCAAUCAUGACCCCUGUUACAAGGCGCUGGACUUGGCACUCAGAGGCAGAGCCGAACCCCCGGAGACUUGGAGUCCAGUGAGAGACACAGACGGGGAGAGACAGCAAUCUCGCAUAAUGUCCGGCAGACUGACAACGGCAUGAUCUAAUGGGGAGGAGAAAAAGAACCACAGGAGCAGAGAGACAGGUUGCAAAGAAGUUCCCUUGGAAAUGUACCUUUUUUUUUUUUUUAAAUGUAUCCAAGGCCUUGUUUUCCUUAUUUGGAUACAAGUAGUACAGGGAGUUCUCACCCUCUUAGAACUGCAAGACAUACCUGUUUAUGUACUCCGCACUAGGAGAUGCUUCCAGAGAAACUGAAAUCUCCAAAGAGCCUUCAAGGUGAGCAGCACUUCAAACUUUCCACCAUAGGAGGGGAGUCGUGAUGGAAGUCUUGGGAGCUGGACAAGGUAGCCCGGCCAGGUGCCUUUGGCAGCCGGCCUGAAGAGAGGAGACAGCCUACAGGCAGCACAUCUGGAGCAGCAUCUGGUGCCCCCUUAGGAUAGAGGGGUCACUUUGAGAUGCAGUUUCGUUGUUCUGCAAGUGUAACCACCUAGCAGGAAGGAAUCUACUCUAAGGAGAAACUCUUGUGCCCUUCCCUUCAGCCAUCAGACUACUGUUCCUGGAGGAACUGAACUUCCUUAGGAGUCUGAUACUGGAGAAGGAAAGGGAUUGGUUGGUGCCUGGUGCCAACUAGCGGGGAAGCCUGUCUCCGAGAAAGAGACUUCGAUUCAUUCCAUCACCUUCACAGGGACUGGUUAAUGAUGAAUACCUCUUGCUCUAUUUAAAUACCAACCUUAUUAUAAGGACCCCAAAGAUGGUGGGGGGGAGGUCUUUAGACCUCUUUGUUCCUCUUUGCAAAUUAACCACAUUAAAUACGCCUCCUUUCUCUGCUGAAA